rnacentral:rRNA from 1 species
AUGAGAACCUUGUGCUGGAACUGUCGUGGGAUUGGCGACCCCGCGACAGUUCAUGAGCUCCGGGAGCUCAUACAGGAGUGUGCGCCGUCGGUGCUUUGUAUUGUGGAAACACAGUUAUCAAAACAGCGUGUGGAAGGCCUGACGGCGAUGUUAGGUUUUGAAGGUGGUUUUGCGGUGGCUAGUAGCGGGAGGAGUGGAGGCUUGGGUGUUUUCUGGAGGCAUGGUUUGGACUUUAGAGUCAAGAACUUCUCAAGGUAUUAUAUUGAUGCUUGGGUAGCCGAACCGGGAAAGGAAGAUUGGAGGCUGACGUGUUUCUAUGGAGAGGCCAACAGAUCACUUAGGCAAAAUACUUGGAACACUAUGGCUAGACUGCGAGGUGAAUCAACCCUUCCAUGGUUAUGUAUCGGGGAUUUCAAUGAAAUUUUGAGGAGAAGAACAAUUGGGGCCGAACGAGCGGGACAGUGCUCAAAUGGAGGGAUUUAG